rnacentral:rRNA from 1 species
UACGUAGGGACCGAGCGUUGUCCGGAUUCAUUGGGCGUAAAGAGCUCGUAGGCGGCUGCUCAAGUCGAAUGUGAAAACUCGAGGCUCAACCUCGAGCCUGCAUUCGAUACUGGGCGGCUAGAGUCUGGUAGGGGGAUCUGGAAUUCCUGGUGUAGCGGUGGAAUGCGCAGAUAUCGGGAGGAACACCUAUGGCGAAGGCAGCUCGCUGGGACGUUACUGACGCUGAGACGCGAAAGCGUGGGGAGCAAACAGG